GACAGAGGAUGCAAGCGUUAUCCGGAAUGAUUGGGCGUAAAGCGUCUGUAGGUGGCUUUUUAAGUCCGCCGUCAAAUCCCAGGGCUCAACCCUGGACAGGCGGUGGAAACUACCAAGCUGGAGUACGGUAGGGGCAGAGGGAAUUCGUCGGUGUAGUGGUGAAAUACGUAGAUAUCGAGAAGAACACCAAUAGCGAAAAGCACUCUGCUGGGCCGAAACUGACAUUGAGAGACGAAAGCUAGGGGAGCGAAAGGG
rnacentral:rRNA from 1 species